rnacentral:misc_RNA from 1 species
GAAAUGCGAUAAGUAAUGUGAAUUGCAGAUUUCAGUGAAUCAUCGAAUCUUUGAACGCAGAUUGCGCCCGCCAGUAUUCUGGCGGGCAUGCCUGUUCGAGCGUCAUUUCAACCAUCAAGCCCCGCGCUUGUGUUGGGGACCUGCGGCUGCCGCAGGCCCUGAAAACCAGUGGCGGGCUCGCUGUCACACCGAGCGUAGUAGAUUUCUCAUCUCGCUCAGGGCGUGCUGCGGGUUCCGGCCGUAAAAAAGCCUUAUUUUACCCAAGGUUGACCUCGGAUCAGGUAGGAAGACCCGCUGAACUUAAGC